AUUCUUCCCUCCUCGCCCUCAUUCUCAUUCCCAGACGAUUCAAUCUCUCUCUCUAUCUCUCUCUCUCGGAGUCGAGGCCUCAGGCCGCCACCGACAACGACCAACGAGCAAAGACGCCCAGCAACCGAGUCAUCGGCCACCGCCGCCUCAACAGCAGCAGCAACCAAGAUAUGGAUUCGAUGCGUGGCUUUGGCGAUUCUGCACAUUAUGGAAAUAUGCGUUCGAAGUUUGCCUAUGGAGGUUUCAUGGAAGGAAA